GUGUCGUUGGUUUAGUAGUAGAAUGCUCAUUUCCCAAGUGAGUGACUUAGGUUCGAUUCCUAGUCGAUGCA